rnacentral:lncRNA from 1 species
UCGGACCACCCAGUAGCUAGAUGUGGACUUUCGUGCCUCGGACCCCGUUCCAAGUCCGAUCGUCCCUUUCUAGGCCAUUGCGCCUUUCUUCGGCGUUUUGGGACGGAACCAAGAAACCGAGUCUGGGGCGUCACCGUUCGGCUUUUGUGGGCAAGAAACUUCGAGAAUCGGACCACCCAGUAGCUAGAUGUGGACUUUCGAGGCCUCGGACCCCGUUCCAAGUCCGACCGUCCCUUUCUAGGCCAUUGCGCCUUUCUUCGGCGUUUUGGGACGGAACCAAGAAACCGAGUCUGGGGCGUCACCGUUCGGCUUUUGUGGGCAAGAAACUUCGAGAAUCGGACCACCCAGUAGCUAGAUGUGGACUUUCGAGGCCUCGGACCCCGUUCCAAGUCCGUCGUCCCUUUCUAGGCCAUUGUGCCUUUCUUCGGCGUUUUGGGACGGAACCAAGAAACCGAGUCUGGGGCGUCACCUUCGGCUUUUGUGGGCAAGAAACUUCAAGAAUCGGACCACCCAGUACUAGAUGUGGACUUUCGAGGCCUCGACCCCGUUCCAAGUCCGACCGUCCCUUUCUAGGCCAUUGUGCCUUUUUCGGCGUUUUGGGACGGAACCAAGAAACCGAGUCGGGCGUCACCGUUCGGCUUUUGUGGGCAAGAAAUUCGAGAUCGGACCACCCAGUAGCUAGAUGUGGACUUUCGAGGCCUGGACCCCGUUCCAAGUCCGACCGUCCCUUUCUAGGCCAUUGUCCUUUCUUCGGCGUUUUGGACGGAAACCAAGAAACCGAGUUGGGGCGUCACCGUUCGGCUUUGUGGGCAAGAAACUUCGAGAUCGGACCACCCAGUAGCUAGAUGUGGACUUUCGAGGCCUCGGACCCCGUUCCUGUUGGAAUUUUUUGUCCUAAAACUCGUAGUUUGUAAAUCAUAUUCUGUUCAAUAAAGUUGUUAUUGAGAAAUUAAAUAUUAUAAUCUUAAAUCCAAUAAAUCAAGUUCCAAGGCUAUUUUUUGAAUAAACUUGAACUUUAUGUGUAAACAUAAACGUGGAUCAAGUUCGAGUAUAUAGCCUAAAUAGUCUAUAGUAUAUGAAAUAAAGGUUGGGCGCCUUAUUUAGAGAAACUAUGGAUGCGGCCCACUUUGUAGUACAAACGAGUGAUCCUAAUCGUUCAUGUAGAGACAUGAAAGUGGGGGCAUCCUAUGUAAAAUGUUUACAUAAGACUGAACCAUGAAUUAGUCAUUUUUACGUUAUAACACCGUUUACUGUUUAAAACUGACUAUCUCAAUUAUUGAUGACCUAGGUAACUUAGUCUUAAUCCUGAGUUAACUAUGAACUCCUGUUCACACGAGAUUAUCCUUAGAUCUGCAUAGGUGAGGGCAGCUCAUCAGCGUUGGCCCAAUAAGCCUCCCAUUUCAGGGGUAAGAUCGGUGGAUAGCUGGGAACAUAGGGUACAAGAUGGAAUUCACUCCUACCCGCUUUAGGGUUAGUAGAUAGGUUGCUCUCUUAAGCACUGAAUCCAAGUCUUGAACAAGGGGCCCCACCCUCUCAUUGGCCCGAGAGGGAUUAAGUUUAUAGGUUGAACCUUAAACCAAUUGUUCAAUAGUGGAUUAGUGGGACUUAAGGAGCAAGAUGUAAUCUUGGGGGUAAAACGGUAUUUUGACCCAGCCAAGGUUACGAGCAACCUGUGAAGGAUUAACUUACUGAUUAUGGUUUUAUCAAAUGGACACAAAUAUAUCUAUAGUGAGGGGAGUGCAACUACGGGACUUUAGUGGAAUGACCCGUUAGUUAACGAAUGUUGAUUAACUCGGUUUAAAAGAGUUUAGCUAGUUAAUCUUGAAUCGUUGGAGCCCAUGAUCUAUAGGUCCAUUAGGUUCCUCUGCUAGCUCAUAUGGAUUAAACUUAGAACAGUGUGAUGAAAUAAGUCGAAUUGUUCGAAUUGGGAGAAGAAAGGGAAACCGACAAAUAUAGUGAUAUAGUCGUCGGUCUUCUAAUUAGAAAUAGAGCUUUAUGUUUUACAUACUAUAAGUAUGAAUGCGGAUUCAUACUAAGAAGCUCGGAAUUGGUCAAAAAUAGUAAAAAGUCAAAAUGUUGACUUUUGACUUUGAAAAGUCAAACUUUGACCGGCCUUAUAUUCAAAUGUGAUUUGAAUUUUGGAAAAAUGAAUGCGGAUUCAUGCUCGGGAGGUUGGAAUUAGUCAAGACGGACAAAAUGGUAAAAAGUCAAAAUAUUGACUUUUGACUAAGAAAAGUCAAAGUUUGACUUUUGACUAGAAAUAUCUAAUGACCAUUUUACCCUUGGACUAAGUUAGUGGGAAAAUCCAACAUUUUGUUGGAUAAUCCCACUAACUCUUAGUGGGAUAUGUGGCUAUAUGAGAUAUAGACACCUAGCCCACUAAGUUCCACUAAUUGUUAGUGGAACAUUAGGUGUUGAGAUUUGGCAAAUGAAUUGCAUGCAUUUUUGCAUGUAAUUAGGCUAUAAAUAGAGGUGUUUUCAAAUGUUGAAGGACUUUUGCCUCUUUUAUCAUUUUCAUCAUCUCAACAAAAGAAAAAAGAAAGCUUCCAAUCUCAUUUUAUCUCCAUUACUUUCUACACCAAAAUUGGGUCCCACAACCCGGUUCUUUGUCUAGAGGAUAGCAGUUGAGUACUAGUGGUGGUCUCGGUAGAAUUGGUAAGAAGACAUCAAACCUUUUGAAAGCUUCAAAGGUAAUACUUCUUAAAACCCUAAUUUGAUUAGUUUAUGGUUACAUGUUAAUUGUGGCAAUUAGGGUAGAAAUUCGAUUCUUUUUCCGCUGUGCAUGACUUAGUUCUAUCAUGUGGUAUCAGAGCAUGCUUCAUUUUUACCCAAUUGCAUGUGGUGGGUUCAUAUUUAUUAGAUAAAUUUUGGUUUGAACUAAAAUGGAUAUAUUAUGAUUUUGGCUCUAGAUUAAGUGUUUUUGUUCUAAUUAUUGUAAUUAGCCUUGUUAAUGGCUUAUUUUUAUUGUUGCAAAGUGUUUGUAAUUUUUUAAAAAAAUAAAAAAAGUCAUUAGAGUUGAAGUUAGGCUGUAAUUGGUUCAACCGGGUGAGAGAAUUGAAAAAAAUGAAGAAAAGAAGGUCACAGACCCGAAAACCCGCUUGAGACCCGCUUCGCGACCCGCACGCGCCGCGCGCCCGCAUGCCGCGCGCCCUCCUGCGCCGCGCGCCCGCUGCCGCCCGUGCGCCCCCUGUGCCCGCGCGCCUGCCUUCGCCGACCGUGUGGGCCGGUUCAAGCGGUUUCGGUUGGUUUUUCAGCCGGUUCGAAGUUUUUGGGAGUGGUUCUGUACUACACCAAAGUAAUUAUGUAAUAAUUUAGUACUUAGCUUAAUUUAGGAGCCAAAAAUCAGUCCAUUUUAGGGUGUUUUUUUUAUUUAUGCAUGUGAUGUAUGAUUAAAUUACUUUAAAUUUGUAUGUGCAUUUUGAAUGUCAUAUAGAUUUAAAAUCCCACCAUAGGUUAACAUGUUCAUGCAUUAAAAUGUAUGAUAUAAAGGUUAUAUUGUAUUGUAUGCAUGUUAAUUGAUUAAUAUGGAAAUUAAUUAAUAUUGAUUAAUUAAUUAAGUUAUUCUUGAUUAAAUAUGAUUUAAUCAAAUUAAUUAAUUAUUGUUUGAUUUAAUUUAAUUAAAGUUAAAUAAAUUAAAAUCCAUAUUAAUUGAUUUUUUAUAAGUUAUAUAUUGAUAAAAUGAUUGAUUAAGUUUAAAAGUUUUUAUAAGUGUUAUAAAAUAAAUUAGACUUUUAAAAUCAAUAACAAAGAUUAAAUGCAUGCUCACUUAGGUUAAACAUAUCUUCCAUUUUUCAUAGAAAUAGGUCGAUAUCUUGUAAAACUGGUUACAAAAGGCUCACCUGGUUCAAUCUUGUCAACAAGUCAGAUAAGAUGACUAAGGUUGGAGGUUCUUAAGUUGACGGUUUACGGAACACCUCCUACCUGGAGAUCGUAAUCAGUUCUUGAGCCUAGUUAACCUAGUUUUAUGAGCAUUCGUGAGAGGUGUGAGGUAAUAAAAAUUUUAUCACCUAGACAUCAUAGGUUAAAAUCCUGUAUAAUGGUUAUACUUGGAUGUUUUAUCUAGACUUAAGAUUUGUUUAAGUUAGCCUAAAUAUAAAUCUUGAAGCUUGGAUUACCCUUUUUUUUCUUUAGAACACUUCAACUAGAGAAAAAUAAUGUAUUUUAGCUCUAGUGUCCCUAAGAGUUCACACCGUGAGGUCCAUGCAGGGCUUUGUGCCGUGCAUAGGAGCGGCCUCCCUUCGGAGAGUGUUUGCAUGGAUCAAAAUCAAGGUGAAUAGGGGAAGUAGUUCAUAGUAAGUGGGUGAGGAUUUGUGGCAGCACAUCCCACGGUCUCUUCCAUUAGGUCGCACCGUGAGAUUUCUAUAAUAUGCCUGCUUGUCUGCCCUGGAGCGACGUUCCCUUCGGAGGGUUGUAUUAUAGGAUUCGGAACACCGCGAACUCCAAAUCUGGAUAGGUUUUCUUAGAUUAGUUUUCAUAAAUGAUUCUAAUCUAUGAAAUCUGAAAAUGGUGGGUAACACUUACAAGAAUUACUAAGUUGUUAGUAUAUUCUUGACUAAAGUAGCGAUAACUAAGUGCUAUAAAGAAUAAGAGUUAUUCUAGAGAUAGCAUCUAGUCAAGAUUGUCUUGGUUCAAAGGAGGAAUAAUCAACUACCCUUCGGAGAAGGUUGUUCUAAACCUUUGAAAUAUUGUUGCAAAAUACAAAUAAUGAAAGGGUACAUUAUUAGUAAUUGCUAAAUUAGAUUGGAUAUUUUUUAUGAUUAUAGUUUUUUCCUAAAAAAUAUGUUUGUUUUUCAGCAUGAAUAGCUCAAUAGUUCAACUUUUAGCUUCCGAAAAACUUAAUGGCGAUAAUUAUGCGGCUUGGAAAUCAAAUCUUAACACAAUACUAGUGUGUUGACGAUUUAAGAUUUGUCUUAACUGAGGAAUGUCCUCAAAACCCUGCCUCUAAUGCUAACCGAACUAGUCGGGAUGCAUAUGAUCGAUGGAUAAAAGCUAAUGAAAAAGCUCCUGUCUACAUUCUUGCCAGCAUGUCUGAUGUGGGACGUCACCGUUCGGCUUUUGUGGGCAAGAAACUUCGAGGUCGGACCACCCCGUAGCUAGAUGUGGACUUUCGAGGCCUCGGACCCCGUUCCAAGUCCGGUCGUCCCUUUCUAGGCCAUUGUGCCUUUCUUCGGCGUUUUGGGACGGAUCCAAGAAACCGAGUCUGGGCGUCACCGUUCGGCUUUUGUUGGCAAGAAACUUCGAGAUCGGACAACCCAGUAGCUAGAUGUCGACUUUCGAGGCCUCGGACCCCGUUCCAAGUCGGUCGUCCCUUUCUAGGCCAUUGUGCCUUUCUUCGGCGUUUUGGGACGGAACCAAGAAACCGAGUCUGGGCGUCACCGUUCGGCUUUUGUUGCAAGAAACUUCGAGAUCGGACCACCCAGUAGCUAGAUGUGGACUUUCGAGGCCUCGGACCCCGUUCCAAGUCCGGUCGUCCCUUUCUAGGCCAUUGUGCCUUUCUUCGGCGUUUUGGGACGGAACCAAGAAACCGAGUCUGGGGCGUCACCGUUCGGCUUUUGUGGGCAAGAAACUUCGAGAUCGCACCACCCAGUAGCUAGAUGUGACUUUCGAGGCCUCUGACCGCGUUCCAAGUCCGGUCGUCCCUUUCUAGGCCAUUGUGCCUUUCUUCGGCAUUUUGGGACGGAAACAAGAAACCGAGUCUGGGGCGUCACCGUUCGGCUUUUGUGGGCAAGAAACUUCAAGAUCGGACCACCCAGUAGCUAGAUGUGGACUUUCGAGGCCUCGGACCCCGUUCCAAGUCCGGUCGUCCCUUUCUAGGCCAUUGUGCCUUUCUUCGUGCGUUUUGCGCGGAACCAAGAAACCGAGUCUGGGGCGUCACCGUUCGGCUUUUGUGGGCAAGAAACUUUGAGAUCGGACCACCCAGUAGCUAGUUGUGGACUUUCGAGGCCUCGGACCCCGUUCCAAGUCUAGUCGUCCAUUUCUAGACCAUUGUGCCUUUCUUCGGCGUUUUGGCACGGAACCAAGAAAUUGAGUCUGGGGCGUCACCGUUCGGCUUUUAUGGGCAAGAAACUUCGAUAUCGGACCACCCAGUAGCUAGAUGUGGACUUUCGAGGGCUCGGACCCCGUUCCAAGUCUAGUCGUCCAUUUCUAGGCCAUUGUGCCUUUCUUCGGCGUUUUGGGACGGAACCAAGAAACCGAGUCUGGGGCGUCACCGUUCGGCUUUUGUUGGCAAGAAACUUCAAGAUCGGACACCCCAGUAGGUAGAUGUGGACUUUCGAGGCCUCGGACCCCGUUCCAAGUCCGGUCGUCCCUUUCUAGGCCAUUGUGCCUUUCUUCGGCGUUCUGGGACGGAACAAAGAAACCGAGUCUGGGGCGUCACCGUUCGGCUUUUCUGGGCAAGAAACUUCAAGAUCGGACCAGCCAGUAUCUAGAUGUGGACUUUCGAGGCCUCGGACUCCGUUCCAAGUCCGGUCGUGUCCCUUUCUUUAGUGUUUUAGGACGGAACCAAGAAACCGAGUCUAGGGCGUCACCGUUCGGCUUUUGUGGGCAAGAAACUUCGAGAUCACUCAGAAUCGGACCACGCAGUAGCUAGAUGUGGACUUUCGAGGGCUCGGACCCCGUUCCAAGUCUAGUCGUCCAUUUCUAGGCCAUUGUGCCUUUCUUCGGCGUUUUGGGACAGAACCAAGAAACCGAGUCUGAGGCGUUACUGUUCGGCUUUUGUGGGCAUGAAACUUCGAGAUCGGACCACCCAGUAGCCAGAUGUGGACUUUUGAGGCCUCGGACCCCGUUCCAAGUCCGGUCGUCCCUUUCUAAGCCAUUGUGCCUUUCUUCGGCGUUUUGGGACGGAAGCAAGAAACCGAGUCAGGGGCGUCACCGUUCGGCUUUUGUGGGCAAGAAACUUCAAGAUCGGACCACCCAGUAGCUAGAUGUGGACUUUCGAGGCCUCAGACCCCGUUCCAAGUCCAGUCGUACCUUUCUAGGCCAUUGUCCCUUUCUUCGCCGUUUUGGGACGGAACCAAGAAACCGAGUCUAGAGCAUCACCGUUUGGCUUUAGUGGGCAAGAAACUUCGAGAUCGGACCACCCAGUAGCUAGAUGUGGACUUUCGAGGCCUCGGACCCCGUUCCAAGUCCGGUCGUACCUUUCUAAGCCAUUGUGCCUUUCUUCGGCGUUUUGGGACGGAACCAAGAAACCGAGUCUAGGGCGUCACCGUUCGACUUUUGUGGGCAAGAAACUUCGAGAUCGGACCACCCAGUAGCUAGAUGUGGACUUUCGAGGCCUCGGACACCGUUCCAAG